AGAGUUUGAUCCUGGCUCAGGAUGAACGCUGACAGAAUGCUUAACACAUGCAAGUCUUUGGCGAAGCUGUGCUUGCACAGCCUAGCCAAGGCGGACGGGUGAGUAACGCGUAAGGAACUUGCCCUGCAGUCAGGGAUAACAGACGGAAACGACUGAUAAGACCUGGUAAAGUCAGGCGGACUCAUGUCCAGCCUGAUGAAAAGAGAUGCUGCAGGAGAGCCUUGCGUCCUAUUAGCUUGUUGGUGGGGUAACGGCCCACCAAGGCGAUGAUAGGUAGCCGGCCUGAGAGGGUGGACGGCCACAAGGGGACUGAGAUACGGCCCUUACUCCUACGGGAGGCAGCAGUGGGGAAUAUUGGACAAUGGGGGCAACCCUGAUCCAGCAAUUCUGUGUGCACGAAGACGGUUUUCGGAUUGUAAAGUGCUUUCAGCAGGGAAGAAGAAAGUGACGGUACCUGCAGAAGAAGCGACGGCUAAAUACGUGCCAGCAGCCGCGGUAAUACGUAUGUCGCAAGCGUUAUCCGGAAUUAUUGGGCAUAAAGGGCAUCUAGGCGGCCAGAUAAGUCUGGGGUGAAAACUUGCGGCUCAACCGCAAGCCUGCCCUGGAAACUAUGUGGCUAGAGUACUGGAGAGGUGGACGGAACUGCACGAGUAGAGGUGAAAUUCGUAGAUAUGUGCAGGAAUGCCGAUGAUGAAGAUAGUUCACUGGACGGCAACUGACGCUGAAGUGCGAAAGCUAGGGGAGCAAACAGGAUUAGAUACCCUGGUAGUCCUAGCUGUAAACGAUGAUUACUGGGUGUGGGCAUGAAGA
rnacentral:rRNA from 1 species